GAUGAACGCUGGCGGCAUGCCUAACACAUGCAAGUCGAACGAAGCUCCGACCUUUGAGAUUUCGGUCAAGAAGGAAGGAUGACUGAGUGGCGAACGGGUGAGUAAUGCAUGAGCAACCUGCCCUUCAGUGGGGGACAACAGUUGGAAACGACUGCUAAUACCGCAUAACACUUCCGGAAGGCAUCUUCUGGAAGUCAAAGAUUUAUUGCUGAAGGAUGGGCUCAUGUCUGAUUAGUUAGUUGGUGGGGUAACGGCCCACCAAGACUACGAUCAGUAGCCGGUCUGAGAGGAUGAACGGCCACAUUGGGACUGAGAUACGGCCCAGACUCCUACGGGAGGCAGCAGUGGGGAAUAUUGGGCAAUGGGCGAAAGCCUGACCCAGCAAUGCCGCGUGAAGGAGAAGGCCUUCGGGUUGUAAACUUCUUUUAUCAGGGACGAAGGAUGUGACGGUACCUGAUGAAUAAGCU
rnacentral:rRNA from 1 species